ACACCAGAGAGAGGCGACUGGGUGACACGAGGAUGCUGGCAAGACUUCCUCAUCCAUCUUCUUAUGCUGGUGGAGGGGAAGCAGCAGCUGUGGAACCAGAUCAGGGUCCAGUGUGCUUUGAAGAUGUAGCUGUUUAUUUCAC